rnacentral:rRNA from 1 species
CCUACGGGAGACAGCAGUAGGGAAUUUUCGUCAAUGGGCGCAAGCCUGAACGAGCAAUGCCGCGUGAACGAGGAAGGUCUUCGGAUCGUAAAGUUCUGUUGAAGGGGAAAAAGAGCGGAGAGAGGAAAUGGUCUCCGAUUGAUAUUACCCUUCGAGGAAGUCACGGCUAACUACGUGCCAGCAGCCGCGGUAAUACGUAGGUGGCGAGCGUUAUCCGGAAUGAUUGGGCGUAAGGGGUGCGUAGGCGGCCUGCUAAGUCUGGCGUGAAAGGUCCCGGCUCAACCGGUAUAGGCUCUGGAAACUGGCGGGCUAGAGAGCAGGAGAGGGCGGUGGAACUCCAUGUGUAGCGGUAAAAUGCGUAGAUAUAUGGAAGAACACCAGUGGCGAAGGCGGCCGCCUGGCCUGUUACUGACGCUGAGGCACGAAAGCGUGGGGAGCAAAUAGGAUUAGAUACCCUGGUAGUC